GUGUUUGCUUCAGCAGCACAUAUACUAAAAUUGGAGUGAUGUAGAGAAGAUUAGCAUGGCUCCUAGGUAAGAGUGACAUGCAAAUGCAUGAAUUUCCAUAUUCGU
ensembl:snRNA U6 U6 spliceosomal RNA